UGCAGAAGGAUCAUUAUUUAACUAAAUG
rnacentral:rRNA from 1 species